rnacentral:rRNA from 1 species
UCGGAACGUGUCCCGUAGUGGGGGAUAGCCCGGCGAAAGCCGGAUUAAUACCGCAUAUGCUCUACGGAGGAAAGUGGGGGACUCAGCAGGCAACUGCGGGGCCUCACGCUAUGGGAGCGGCCGAUGUCCGAUUAGCUUGUUGGCGGGGUAAUGGCCCACCAAGGCGACGAUCGGUAACUGGUCUGAGAGGAUGAUCAGCCACACUGGGACUGAGACACGGCCCAG